CUGCGCCUCUCUCUCUACCUGCUUGGACCUCCCUCCUCUCUCCUCCCCAUCUCCCCAAGCUCGUCGCCAUGGCCAAAGCUCCCUGGCGUUCGUCCUGGCCGCCGCGCCUUCUCUCUGCUUGCUGCUCGCCGGUGCCUUCUCUGCUCCUCAAUCCAUGGCGUCGUUCUUCCCUGGUACUCCUCCAGCCACGCAGCUGAGCUCCCUCGCUGCGGUUCCCAGCUCCCUUUGCUCACGACGCACGCCCAGCCUCUCCCCAAGCUCGAGUUCCUCUGCUUCUUCCCCAACCGCGCCGGUCGGAUCUCCCUGGUACCUCGCUCUCUGUCCGGCCAUGGAGCUCACCCAGCUCGGACCACGAAGCUCUCUGGCGCUCUCCCAUGGCUGGCGCUUGGCUCUAGCUCGGCCUGCGUGCCCUGA
rnacentral:misc_RNA from 1 species